AACCUGUGUUUGGAUCAUAUUAUCGAUUAGAGUUAUGUAGCUUUGUCAUUUUAUUUCUUAAAGUAGUAUUCAAGCCAAUGAAUUGUGUGGUUGAUAUAUCUGGGCUUUAUAUUGACAAUGUUGUUUAAUUUUAUCCUGAAUUACUUUGAUAUGUUUUAUCCUUCAUUUACUUUCUUUUAUUAGAAUUCAGUAUGUGUCUAGCCACUGAAAUUAAAGGUUAUAUGAUCAAAGAUUGCGAUCAAGAUUU
rnacentral:lncRNA from 1 species